UUCAAUGUUUAAAAGGAAUGUCUCUA
rnacentral:sRNA from 1 species